rnacentral:rRNA from 1 species
UACGUAGGGGGCGAGCGUUGUCCGGAUUUAUUGGGCGUAAAGAGCGUGUAGGCGGCCAGGUAGGUCUGCUGUGAAAACUCGAGGCUCAACCUCGAGACGUCGGCGGAAACCAUCUGGCUAGAGUCCGGAAGAGGAGAGUGGAAUUCCUGGUGUAGCGGUGAAAUGCGCAGAUAUCAGGAAGAACACCAAUGGCGAAGGCGGUUCUCUGGGCCUGUACUGACGCUGAGGAGCGAAAGCGUGGGGAGCGAACAGG